AUUACUAUAGAGAAACCUUACUUUUAAAAGGAGCCAGGGCAAGAUAGACAUCUUGAUAUUUAGUUAAAAUGCUUGCAAGAUAAGCAUUAGUGUGAGACUUCAGAUCACCAAAUCUCACUUAGAUGCUAGGUAAACAUGGCUGCCCACCUGUAUUUCCAGCCUUAUGAGACACAUAGGUGAUCCCUGGAACACGCUUGCAGUCAAGACUAGCCACAUCAGGUGAGUUCAGUCUCUCAAUGAUUCAGAGACAUUGGCACAAUGAAUAAGGCAGAAAAUGAUUAAGGAUCAUCCUUGAAAUCAACCUUGGGCUUCUAUAUACAUAUCACAUACAUGACUAUGGAAAAAGAAAAAACACAAAGAGCCUCUAAGCCUUAAUGGGAAGUUUACAAGAGAUGAACAAGAAGUCCUUCUAUAACCUACCGUUUCCUUACUGUUUUUGUUGUUAGUUGCCAGACAUCCAAAGGUACAAAAAUCAUAGCCCUUCUACAUGAACUUACAGUUUGUACAUCUCCGUUUAAUCUCUAUAACAUUAAUUAAAUGCUAAACUGGUCACAUUUAAUGAUAUCUUCAUAAAGUAUACCUUGUGAACUCCAUUUUUAUUUACCAAAAGUCUGUGUUGCAGAGAAUAAAUAACUUUUCAGAAUCUUCAGACAAAGCCACAUAUUCAGAAGGAGUGGAUUACAUUCAGUUAGUGUCCCUUUGAAGGACCACUUAAAUAUCCUCUUUCCCAAGAAGCUAAGCUUGCCUUUUCCUCUUGACCAAUGUUCUUCACAAAUACAGGUCUUGAACUUAAACUAAACAGGUCACAGAAUCUGUCUCUCUCACUGCCAUUGGAAUGGCCUCAUAGAGAGUAUUUUAUAAUAGUGUUUUUAUUUACCAUGCCAUGAGACAUAAAACAGCAAAACCAAUGGACAAUUUGAAGGCAAAUUGACAACUCAUUCUCUGUGCUAGAGCUAUUGGAUACAUUGGCCUUGUGCUAAACAUAGUAAGCCCUAUGAAGAUCUUUCAUGUGUCAAUUUGUUAAGCUUUUACUAAAUGUGAAUGAUGGACAAAGUCUGUAAUUCAUAUGUUGCAUGACACUAGAAUAGUAAAUAGUAACCAUGAAGAAAAACCAGAGUGUUAUGGACAUCUUGCCUCCCCACCCCCACCAAAUGAGUAGUUCUAUGACACACUUCAGCUGGACUAUGGGCAAUGAGAAGAAAGUGAGCAUAUAGCAAGAAGCAGAAAGAGAAAGUCUUUCAGGCACAAGUAGCAAACUACUGUUCAAAGGCCACCAGAAUAGUCACAUGCUCAAAUUGUUUAGGAUGAAUGUGGUUUUCAAGCCGUAAAACAAGAACUGGAAGAAGACAGGUUAGAGAGACAGAACAGGUGAGAAAAUUAAUGCCUUGGUUAACAUUGCAAGUUAGCUAAUUUAGGUCUGAAGGCCUGAAGAGUAUAGUCAUGAGACUGGUAUAGUCAUUUCUGUGGUGUGAAAGCAUUGCUUUAGCUGUAGCACUAGAUCUUCAUGUCAUAGGACUAAGAAGAAAACUCAGGUAUGCCACUUAACACAUAAUUAAUGGGAAAAAUUGGCCAAUGGUGGAUGAAAUUAGACGUCUUAAAUGUAUUAGAAAUUAUAGAACCAGCUGGGUGGUGAUGGUUCAUGUCUCUAAUCCUAGAACUUGGGAAACAGAAGAGGUGGAUCACUGUUAGUUCUAGGACUGCUUGGUAUACAGAAUGAAACCCAGGACAGAGAGCCAGGGCUACACUGAGCAACCCUAUCUAAGGUGGAAAAAAUUAUAGAACUGAUCUCUAUUAUUUUUUAGGAUGGAAGAGAGGAGUCAAAGAUGCCUACAGAACAAAUUCCUGUUACUAACAAACACUCAGCCAGGGGCACCUGUUAUCUCUCAAGCCUUAAUCAUGCCCAGGGUUAUCUGUCACUUUAGAUGAGUAACUACCAUGCCUCUGAGUGAUUUGUCAGUGUUCUGUAUAGGAGGCUAACAGACUGUGAAUUCCUGGUAUGAUUUACACCAUAAGAAGCUAUUUCACUUGUGUGGAUAAUAGAUUCAGCAUGGUUGGGAAACCUUGACCAAAAUGCAUAACUGUGGUUGAACAAAGAUGACAAAUGCAUCUCUGGUGCCUCCUAUAACGUCCCUCAGUCAUUAACAAGAUAGGGAUAUUCUUUUCAACCAGUAAGAUAAUCAAACUGUAGCCAUUUCUUAAAGUAUAAAUCUAUGACUUUUCUUGGUUGUUAUCUUACUCACAAAUAAGGCAGAAAUAAGUAACUCACAUAUUUUCUUUCAAAAAUUCUCACAGAUGAAUCCUAGUUUGAGUACAAAGUGAGUUACAUGGGAAUUUUGAAAAUAGUUUUUAUGAAAAAAUGGAUUACCCAUUAAAGGUAUCCAAUGUCCUGACAAGCUUCAUCCAGAUGUCUUAAAGGUUUGAUUUUUUUAGGCCAUAUUGUUUGAUUCCACACUAUUGAUCAUUGUGAAAUUUCCUAAAUUCAAAUAGAAUUAAAUAUCUAUUGCAUCAAGUAAUGUGGAGAACUGGGCUUCUGAGCACCCCAUUUUUUCUAAGCUGCCUUAGUUCUUUUCAGUUACUAGUAAUAAAAAUGAUAAUCAGAGCCCAAAAAGAUUGUGGAUGGGUUUUCAAUAUUAUAUUAUGUAGCCAGCCAAAGCAAGGCCUCAUUCCAGUUUUAAGUAAUUUUGGAUAAUAGAUUAUUUCCUCACACAAAUUCCAUUUUAUGUUUAAUCAUGAUGUAUCUUUUCAGUAUGCUUGAAACAGAUUCAUGUGCUUAGCCCUCACGGUGACACCAAGGGAAAGUGGUAGACCCUAUUCAGGAGGUGGAGCCCAGUGGCAAUCCCUUAAGACACUGGAGUGUGCUCUCCAAAUGUACUUCACAAGAAAGGUCUUGAUAGUUCUUCUUCCAAUCUUUACAAGGAGGGAACCUGUUUCUGUUCUCUACUUUCUCUGGAAGAGAUGGGACCAUUGCUUUCAUGUCACUCCUACCAUGGAGCAUCCCUAGGUACUGCUCUCACCAGAAGCCAUGUACCCAUUUUGUUCAAUCUUGCCUCAAAAACUGUAAGUUAAAUAGGUCUUUUAUAUUUCUAAGUUAGAUCUCCCAGGUAUUUUAUUAUAGUGACACAGAGCUGACUAAUGCAUCGCCUGACAGAAUCUUCCAUUUUCUAAGAAUAAUCAGAUCUCUUACUACUGAAGAGAGAUGGUAAAAAAAAAAAAAAAAAAACAAGUUUUUGAAGUAGAAUAUUCGUGACAGGCUAUAAGCCACUUAAUACAUUCGCCAUUAAAGCAACCUGUUACUCUUUUCCUUCUUUCGAUAAUAAAAGAACAAUUUUUCCAAAUUGGCAGGCAGAAUGAUGGCUAGUGACAGGUCUGUGAAUUUUGGUCUCUAUUA
rnacentral:lncRNA from 1 species